UCGAACGAUGACGUCACUGCUUGCAGUGACUGAUUAGUGGCGAACGGGUGAGUAACACGUGAGGAACUUGCCCAUGAGCGGGGGACAACAUUCGGAAACGGAUGCUAAUACCCCAUAGGUGGAUUGGUCGCAUGACGAAUUCAUUAAAGGUGGCUUUGCUACCACUCAUGGAUAGCCUCGCGGCGUAUUAGCUAGUUGGUAAGGUAAUGGCUUACCAAGGCAGUGAUACGUAGCCGACUUGAGAGGGUGAUCGGCCACACUGGGACUGAGACACGGCCCAGACUCCUACGGGAGGCAGCAGUAGGGAAUCUUCCACAAUGGGUGCAAACCUGAUGGAGCAAUGCCGCGUGAGUGAAGAAGGUCUUCGGAUCGUAAAGCUCUGUUGUUAGAGAAGAACACGUGCUAGGUAACUACUAGCGCCUUGACGGUAUCUAACCAGAAAGUCACGGCUAACUACGUGCCAGCAGCCGCGGUAAUACGUAGGUGACAAGCGUUGUCCGGAUUUAUUGGGCGUAAAGGGAGCGCAGGCGGUCUGUUUAGUCUAAUGUGAAAGCCCACGGCUUAACCGUGGAACGGCAUUGGAAACUGACAGACUUGAAUGUAGAAGAGGAAAAUGGAAUUCCAAGUGUAGCGGUGGAAUGCGUAGAUAUUUGGAGGAACACCAGUGGCGAAGGCGAUUUUCUGGUCUAA
rnacentral:rRNA from 1 species